UACGUAGGUGGCAAGCGUUGUCCGGAAUUAUUGGGCGUAAAGCGCGCGCAGGUGGUUUCUUAAGUCUGAUGUGAAAGCCCACGGCUCAACCGUGGAGGGUCAUUGGAAACUGGGGGACUUGAGUACAGAAGAGGAAAGUGGAAUUCCACGUGUAGCGGUGAAAUGCGUAGAGAUGUGGAGGAACACCAGUGGCGAAGGCGACUUUCUGGUCUGUAACUGACGCUGAGGCGCGAAAGCGUGGGGAGCAAACAGG
rnacentral:rRNA from 1 species